UUUCUUUAUGAAGCCGCGCUGGAAUGUGAUGGUCUAGAAGGUCAAAUUGACCAACACCUCUGGAAUUUUUUGUGGGCCGAGAGAACAGGUUCUUUCUUCCACUUCAUCAUCAUCAUCGUCAGUGCAAGAAUACAACACUA
ensembl:ncRNA C02D5.5 ncRNA